GGGAACUACGAGCAUAAGCUUAAAACCCAAAGGACUUGGCGGUGCUUUAGACCCCCCUAGAGGAGCCUGUUCUAGAACCGAUAAUCCCCGUUCAACCUCACCUUUUCUUGCCCGUCCCGCCUAUAUACCGCCGUCGUCAGCAUACCCUGUGAAGGAGCCAUAGUUAGCAAAACCGGUAGAACCCAAAACGUCAGGUCGAGGUGUAGCAUAUGAAAAGGGAAGAAAUGGGCUACAUUUCCUACCCUAGGAAAUACGAAUUGUACCGUGAAAUAGUACAUAAAGGAGGAUUUAGUAGUAAGCAGAAAACAGAGUGUUCCGCUGAACCCGGCCCUGAAGCGCGCACACACCGCCCGUCACUCUCCCCAAACCUAAAAACACCUAUACUUUAAAAAACUACUGGGGCAAAGGGGAGGCAAGUCGUAACAUGGUAAGUGUACUGGAAAGUGCACUUGGGAAAAC
rnacentral:rRNA from 1 species